GACAUCAGGAGGUUAGUGCAAUGGCAUAAGCCAGCUUGACUGCGAGCGUGACGGCGCGAGCAGGUGCGAAAGCAGGUCAUAGUGAUCCGGUGGUUCUGAAUGGAAGGGCCAUCGCUCAACGGAUAAAAGGUACUCCGGGGAUAACAGGCUGAUACCGCCCAAGAGUUCAUAUCGACGGCGGUGUUUGGCACCUCGAUGUCGGCUCAUCACAUCCUGGGGCUGAAGUAGGUCCCAAGGGUAUGGCUGUUCGCCAUUUAAAGUGGUACGCGAGCUGGGUUUAGAACGUCGUGAGACAGUUCGGUCCCUAUCUGCCGUGGGCGCUGGAGAACUGAGGGGGGCUGCUCCUAGUACGAGAGGACCGGAGUGGACGCAUCACUGGUGUUCGGGUUGUCAUGCCAAUGGCACUGCCCGGUAGCUAAAUGCGGAAGAGAUAAGUGCUGAAAGCAUCUAAGCACGAAACUUGCCCCG
rnacentral:rRNA from 1 species